UCGCGUCGAUUCCGUCAUUACCCUUCAGCCUCAGCCUCUUUAUCUUCGAUCUACUCCUCCACCAUUCAAUCUUCCCACUUCUCUCUCCGAUCUCAGAUCUCCCUCUCUUUCUUCGAUUUGUGACGAACGAGAGCUUAGCUUCUCCUCCAAUGGCGGUCAACUCCAAUCAUCGCUUCCUCUCUUUUUCUUCGGUGCUCGUCGGUUUUGCAGUGAAAUGGCAUGGCUUCUCCUUGAAACCAAUGACGAAGCUCUUGGUUAACUAACUCCGCCAGAGGGAUUACUUCGAGAAGCACAAAUUCAAUGACUCUUCUUCUUCUUUGCCUUCAUACUCCUUUCAAAAUGUAGAGACUCCUGCGGAGAAGAAGUUAGAGGAUGUAAUGCCCAUUGCAACUGGACAUGAGAAGAGGAGCUUGAAGCUGAAUUGGAGUUCUCCAGUUUAAAUCUGAGGAGCUUAGGGUUGAAGAGAGUAGUAAUACAGCGACGAAAAGGAAAGAAGGUGGUAGAGAUGUCGUAGUCGCUGAAUCUGAGGAGCUUAGGAUUGAAGAGAGUAGUAAUACGGUGGAGGAGAGUGAAACUGAAGCAGAGAAUGAAGAGAAAACAGAGUUGACUAUUGAAGAAGACGAUGAUGAUUGGGAAGGAAUUGA